rnacentral:lncRNA from 1 species
AGAAAAAAAAAAACUAAACUAUGAAACAAAUAGGAAAGGAAAUGGUCAUACUAAUAGUUUAAUGAUCUUACGUGUAAUCUAACCAAAAAAUAUUGAAAUGAAGAUUGAGCUCAAACCAUAUUUUAAAUGGGCUUAUUUUUCUUACUUAAGCCAUUUUUUGUCAUUAUAUUUUUGUCCAAAACUUUUUAAAUUUCAAGAGAGCCUUAAAACUUAAAUGGGUUGCUCGAUCUUAAGAUAAAUUUAUUUAAAUUUAACUUUAUUUUAAUUAUGCAAUACUUGUUAUAUUUAUGAAAAAUAUUUGAUACAUUGUUAGGAGAAAUUAUUUCAUGAACCAUUCUUAUCACCUUAUAUAUAUGGUCCUAACCAAUUAUUUUAUGCCACAUAAAUAAUUUUUUCCAACUCAAAUUAAAAUAAUCAAAACAAUUUCCACCUCAAAUUUAAUUUUGUUCAUUUUUUUACGUGAAUUUUUCCUUCCUCUCACCGUCUUUCACUGUUAGAAGAGAAAGAUUUAGGGAUUUUGUUGAUUUUCCAGAUUUUUUUUCCUUUCUUCAUCUCUUAAUUGUUAGAAUUUAGGGUUUUGAGCAAUUUAAAAUUAGCAAACGAAGGAUUACAGGCUGAGCAAAAAAAUUGGAGGGAUUACAGAAUCAAGUUCAUUCCUAUUUUUAGUGAUUAAAAUCAAUGGUUUUUAAUCUUUUCAUUCAACUAUGAAAUAGUUAUUGAAUUUAGUUCAUAAUAAUUUUUUUAUUUAUUAGGAAAAAGAAAAGUAAAAUUGAAGUAAAAAAAUGAGAGUAACCCUUUUCAAAUUUCUGUCAGCAUAUAUGCAGAUGCAGUGGGAGGUGAUUUUUGUUUUUUAAGUUUUGGUUUAUACCCAAAUCACAAAUAUGUUGUAAAUUGUAUCUUUACUGUGUCUUGAGUGCAUAAUGAAAUUUUUGUUAGAGCCUUUGUAUGAAUUCAAUUUGUAGUGUAAUGCUAGUUGCUUUGGAUUACUGGUCAUUUCAUAUCGUUUUAUUGAUGUAAUUCCUAUUUAUGUAGAUCUCUGGUACUGUACUUUUUUCUUUUAAGUCUUUCAAUUUGUUUGGGUCUUCUUUUCAUAAUGUUAUUAUUAUUUUCUCACUUUUACAUUUAAACAAAGUAUUUUGAUAUUUACUUCUCUACUUUCAAGUUUGCUAAACCAAAACAUAUUGUGUUUUUGUCCAUAGUUUUUAAGUUUUGGUUUAUAUCUAGAUCAGAAAAUAUGUUGCAAAUUUUCUUUUAUCUUUUUACUUGGAAUUUGUUUUAUUUAGGAAUUGGGUGUUUGGAUCAUGUGAUCGAAACUUUAAUUUUUGUUUGGUUGAUUAGAAAGUGAAGGAACAAAAAGAAAAUGUAAGGUAUUUUUCAAGUUUGGGGUGAACAAGAAUUUUUUUUUUAUAAUUUUGUCUCUUUUUUAUUUUUUAUAAUUUUGCACAAUAUCUAGGUGGACGAGAAAUUUUUUUGUGAAUCCUCCUUACCACAUCAUUCAUGCUUGAGUAAUUUGAAUUUUUUUUAAAUUCUAUAAUUGUUCUAUAUAAUUAUAUGAUUAAUUUGAUGCAUAUAUAUUUCAUGACAUGGAUGAAGAAAAUUCUUGAAGUUUUACUUACACAGAAAUGAUAGAAAUUGAUAAUGCUAAUUUGAAGGGACUUGUGGUGAAUAGUGAAGGUGAAGCUUAUAAUUUGUAUACAGAUUAUGACUAUCGAAUUGGUAUUAGUGUUCGAAAAGGAAAAAAUUAGAUAUCUUUCUGGCACAAAGAUUAUUCACACUGAAGAUUUUUAUUGUUCCAAACAAGGUUUCAAAGAAUUUGAAGAUGUCGCGGAUAUAAAAAAACAUAACAAAUUGGAAACAAGAACUGGAUGUUCAACAAUGAUUUGCUUUAAAGUACAAGAUGACCAAUGGAAAGUCACUCGUUUUAUUUCUGAGCAUAAUCAUGAAUUAGCAACUCCUUCAAAAAGACAUUUACUCAGGUUAGCUCGAUCAGUUCUGGUAGCUAAAGCUAAUGUCAUUAAUUCAAUGGUUAGUGCUGGUAUACGUCCUAUAGAUGUUUACUCCUUCAUGUCAGAUGAAGUUGGUAGAACUAAAAAUGUUGGGUUUACAAAACGAAAUUGUUAUAAUUACAUUAACAAACAAAAGAUUAUGACUAUUAAAGCUGAAGAUGGUCAAAGUUUACUUAACCAUUUCAAGGUUAAAGCAAGUGAAGAUCCAAUAUUUUUUUACACAGUUCAAAUGGAUCAAGAAAAUCGAAUGACAAACUUUUUUUGGAGAGAUGGUAGAUCAAGAAUUGAUUAUGAUUGCUUCGGAGAUGUUGUGGUUUUUAUACAACUUAUUGUACCAAUAGAUAUAACCUAAUAUAUGCUCCCUUUGUGGGUAUUAAUCAUCGUCAACAAACAAUAAUGUUUGGGUGUGCAUUUUUGUUAGAUGAGACUGUUGCUUCCUUUACAUGGUUGUUCAAGUCUUUCUUGCAAUUAAUGGGUAAUCAGUCACCAGAGACUAUAAUGACUGAUCAAGAUCAUGCAAUUAGCAAAGCAAUAAGAGAAGUUUUUCCUGAUUCAUGUCACAAAUUAUGUUUAUGGCACAUUUUUAGGAAUGCCCCUUCAUAUCUUGGUAAUCUCAAUGGAAAUGUUGAUUUUCAUGUUUUGUUUAUAAAUGCGUGCAAGGUUGUGAAUCCGAAAUAGAAUUUGAGAAUAGAUGGGAAAAAAUGAUAAAUGGUCAUAAUCUUCAAGAUCAUUCAUGGUUGAAAGGUUUGUAUAAACACCGUGAAAAAUGGAGUACUACUUUUAGCAUCGAUAUAUUUUCUUCUCAAAUUAAAUCUUUUCAAAUGGUUGAGGUUACAAAUAAUAUUUUUCAUGGUAUUUCUAAAGCCACUGCUUCUCUUACCGAUUUUGUUUUUUAAUUCAAGAAUUUAGUGGGAAGAUAACGUUCUUCCGAAGCUAUGAAAGAUUUUCAGCACAAAAAUGGCUCAAUCACGUGUGCAAUUAAAAAUUGUGGUAUUUUGUCUAAUGCAACGAAAGUUUAUACUAAUGAAAUAUACGGGUGCUUUGAGAAAGGAUUUCUUGACAGUGUUCCAUUGAUAUGGAGAGAAAUUGCGCAAAAUGGUACAUCUUAUACUUUUGAAGUAAUGAUGGAUGAAAAUAGUUCAAGAGUCUGAACAGUCCAUUUUAACACAACCACCAUGGAAAUUCGUUGUACUUGUAAGAAGUUUGAUUUUUGUGGCUAUCUUUGCUCUCAUGCUAUACGAAUUCUUAGUGUUAAAAAUGUCAAGAAAAUUUCUGAUUAGUAUAUCUCUCGAAGAUGGACUAAAUAUGCUAAAAAAAUAUGUAUGGUGGUAAUGUUGCUGAGUUUUCACAAUAGUAUAAUAUUGAGGCUGAAGUUGUAUUUUGUAAUCGUAUGAUUCGAUUUGCUUAUGAUUUGAUUAUAAAAAGUCAAUAAAAAAAGGACAAUUUUGUCAGAAGAAUUUAUAUGAAGGAGACAUGAAAGUGGAGAAAGAAUUAACAAAGUUAUGUGUCUCUAAGAAUCAUGAGCUCAAAGAGAAUGAGAUAAAUGCAAGAGCAGUCAUUCCAUCUAGUAAGUUAUCCAUAUAAUUAAGAAUUUUGAAUUCUUUAUGUUUUUUCUUACAUUAGUAAUAAUUGUUUUAUUUUUAAUUUAGAAAAUGUGAAAAGGUCAAUAAUUGAAGAAUUAUCGAUAAAUGAUGAUAAUGUUGUAAAAUAGGGUGAAAGUAAAACUUCUUCAAUCUUAGAUCCACCAUGCGUUAAGCCGAAAGGGAUCUCUAAUUCUAGACUUUAAGGUCACUUAGAGAAAAAAAAAUAAAAGCAUCCCAAUUGUAGAAGUUGGGUAAGUAAUUUGAUUAUAAAGUUAUAUUUUGGGGUAAAUUUAUUUCUUUAAUUAUAUUAUUUUAAUAAAUCUUAUUUUUUAUAUAGGAAAAAAAAACAAUAGCAAUUAGAGAAUCCUUAGAUGUACUUAUUACUACUCUAAGUUAUAACAAUUUUGUAAGUAUAAAAUUAAUUAGUCACAUAUUACAUAGAAGUAUUUUUUUAUUGUUGUUAUACAUUACUAACUCCUUUUUUUUGUCUGCAUUAUGCCAACAAACAAUAUUUAUGUAUAUUCGUGUCAAAAUUCAAUGUAAUUUUUCAACAUGGUAACCACAACCGAUAGUUAUGUUAUAUCUAUAUCUUCUUAGAAUUCCAUAUAAAUGAAACUAUUUAUUUUUUUAAGACUCCAAGUAACAGUUGGUGUUUAAGUGGUACAAAUUUACCUUAUAAGAGCAUGCAACAAAGUACUAGUGUAAUAGCUCCAAAUUCGUGUUAGAUAUUCAUUUUUUAUUUUAUUUGUAGAUAUAUAGUAUGUUUGAUUUUACAUUAAAUAUUCAAGUGAAUUUUUUUUUUGUUAAACAACUCUUUUAAAAUUUAUUUUUGUGAAUUUAAUCAUUUUAAUCAAUUAAUUAUAGGAACCACUUACACGUAAUCAAGGGUAUCCAAAUUCUAACUGUUAAUCACAUGUUUAUUUCAUACUAAUGCUUAUUCUUUUAUCAAGGAAUUAUACUUGUAUAUAAUUUUUUUUUUUGUAUUUGUUGCAAUGUAUGAUAAAACCCUGGAUUGUUUUUUUCAAAGUCAGAAAGUUGCACAUCAUGAUGAAGCUAUAUUGCUACGACAAAGUCUAGAUUUGGUGGUUACUGGCAAUUGAUAUUAGACUAAAUGUUUUUUGUACAUGAUCAUUAGUAUGACUAUUACAAUGUAUAAAAAACUUGAAUGUUCUACAGUGUGAUUGUGAAUCUAUGCACUUCCUUAUUUGAGGUUCUUUAAUCAAGUGUUGUAUUCUUUAGCUACGUUUCUUUGAUUUCCGUAAUGAGAUUUUUACUAGUGAUUUGUUUUUUAUUUUAAUGUUAAUUUCUUAUUUCAUAUUCUGAUGUUAAUUUCUUAUGUCCCAUGUUUGGAUCUUAUCAAGAUAUUUUGUAAUGAGCUAUUUUCUUGUUUCUGGAGGAUAAAACAUAUAAUUUCAUUAAUGAAAUUACUACACCAUCGAAUCAAUAGGUAACAAAUUUGAAAUAAUAUUAGUUAUCAAGAACAUAAAAAAAAUUAAAAGAAAUAAUUAGAAAGCAUAUUCAAUUCAUAAACUCGUCAAAUUUGUACAUUUUCUUUAGCCAAUCAAAGACAGACUAAUUGAAAACAAAAUAGCAUUGUUGAACAAUGUCAUUGUUUCUAAACAAUGUCUAGUCUAAUGGUACAAUUGAUCUUAUUCUAUCUAGUGGUGCCAUGGAAGUGGGACGCAUACCGCCAAGGUGUGUUCUUUCGAACCUGGGUCUAGUUGAAAAUAGCGGAGCUCUUGUUCUCAUUCUUGGCAGGACAGACACUUGAGUUGAUGUCGACUUUGAGUAUUCAGUCUCGUGGAAGAAACAGGGCUCAACCAUGCAUGAAAAGGUAGGAAAAUGACCUGGUCCAGAUCAAAUAGUUGUGUACAUUGGAAGAUUUAAACCAGCUUAAUGAGCAGUCUCUUGAAGCAAAUUCUUAUAGACACAUGUUUCAUCUUGUGCAGUAGAGAUAAACUCAAAAGAGUUUAGCUUCUUUUUUUUCCCCAAAAUGAAUAAUCAAUAGCUACAAAUUCCAGCUCAAAGACUAAUGUAGAACAAUUGGUUGAGUAGGAAAAUGGCAUCUACGUAAGUCUAGCUCGAAAGUAGAUAAAAUUUAAGUUGAAUGCUUACCAAAAUUCUAGCAGUCAAUGCUUUGGAAGUGCCUCUCUUGGCAAGCGUAUUUAGAGCUACUGCAACAUGUUCAACUUAUUUCAAAAUAGAGGAAAGAAGUAGGGCUUUCGAAAGUCUCUCCACUAAAAUUGAGAGUAGUUUUAAACCAAGGAGCAUGAUCCGAUCCUUCUCGGAUGCAUGAAUAAGAAGACGACAAAUUAAAGCAACUCUUUGACCCAACUCUUGCAAUUGGUUCUUGUACAUAUCUAAAAACGUAAGACAUAUUUGUUAACGAAGGAAAUUGAAACGAAAAAUCCAUAAUUUAACUUCACUUCCAUACUAAUACAUUUGUAAUAGGUUAAAGAAACUAAUAUUCAAUUAUCAAAAUCAUUAGAUAGUUCAAGAUUUCACCAACAUUAGAUUAACAAAUAAUCAGAACAACUAAAUUGUAAGACAUUUAAAUCAAAACACACAUCAUUAAUCUUAAACACAGUCUAUACAAUUACAUAAGACUCAUCAGAAAAUGAAAAUCUCAAUCAAAUUAUUCAAAGACACGUGUUUUUUAACUAGAAAAUGAAGUUGGGUCAGUCCAUUUGAUUUGAUGGCAAAAUCCAAAGAGAGACAACAAUGUUGCAAAUGUUAGAUUUCAACAACCACCAUAUAACAAUAUAACAAAACUCAAAUCUAUUAUUCCUAAUACUCGAAACAUAGAUUUCAAAAAUAUUGCCAUAGAUAAUCAAAAUUUAAAAAUUGAUUAUAAUAGUUGAACACAUAUUAUUGCAAUUGAAGAAUAACAGUCAAACCACCUUUCAUGAAAUUAAGAAUGCACAGAAUCUUAGUUUUGGAAAUUCUAGAAUAAUAAGUUCACUUAAUUCCUUAUUAUCAAUUAACAAUGAAAGAAUAUUGAAGCAUAAUUGAAUUUAGAGAAUCAACAAAUAAUAACUAAAGAAAGAAAUGAAAUUAUGUUCAAGGAAACAAAUAUGUCAUGGUUGCAGGAGUCUAUACAUCGCAUAUAGGCUUAGGCUUUAAGUUAAGGGCAUCGUGGUAUAAUCAUCGAGGUACCGCAGGACCUAAGAGAUCGAAUGGAAGGGUACAUAGACAAGUAAAUCCCUUAUGACACUCCUUUAAUUUAAGAGGAUUCAGCAUUCGAGGGGAAGUAGACUACUCAAGAAUUUCACAUUUCAUUUAUGUCCUAAUUUUGAAUUGAAUAAAGAACUAAGAAAAUCUAAAUCAAUAAAAGAAGAAUCAAUCAAUGAAAUGUUUCUUGGAACUUGAGUAAAGAGUAGACCUUUUUGGGGGGUUCUAGAAUUUGAAAGCGAGAACUCCUUUACUUUAUCUUUAUUUGGUGUAACUACAUGAGCCGGAUGAGAGGAAACUCUCAUGUCCGAUUUUGAGGGGGGGAUCCCGCAGGGCCCUAUCCUAAUUUUUCUUUUGCUAGGCCCAUCGCUAAAAAACCUAAUUUCUUACGAUUACGAGGUUCAUUCGAAUAUGAAAUUCAAUCCUGGAAAUACAGUAUCCCACUUUUUUUUACUACCCAAGGUUUCGAAACAUUUCGAAGUCGCGAAAUUUCUACCGGAGCAAGUUCUAUUCGAGAACAAUUAGCCGAUCUAGAUUUGCGAAUUCUUAUCGAUUAUUCGGUGGUAGAAUGGAAAGAAUUAGGAGAAGAAGGCCUCACGGGUAAUGAAUGGGAAGAUCGAAAAAUUGGAAGAAGAAAGGAUUUUUUGGUUAGACGCAUGGAAUUGGCUAAGCAUUUUAUUCGAACAAAUAUAGAACCAGAAUGGAUGGUUUUAUGUCUAUUACCAGUUUUUCCUCUCGAG